AAUCAACGCUGGCGGCGUGCCUCAGACAUGCAAGUCGAACGAUUAAACUUCCCUUCGGGGAAGAUAUAAAGUGGCGCACGGGUGAGUAACACGUAGGUAAUGUACCUUUGGGUGGGGAAUAACUUAGGGAAACUUAAGCUAAUACCGCAUAAUGCAGCGGCUCCUUCGGGAGACAGUUGUUAAAGAUUUAUCGCCUAAAGAGCAGCCUGCGGCAGAUUAGCUAGUUGGUAAGGUAACGGCUUACCAAGGCUACGAUCUGUAUCCGACCUGAGAGGGUGGUCGGACACACUGACACUGACUAACGGGUCAGACUCCUACGGGAGGCAGCAGUCGGGAAUUUUGGGCAAUGGGCGAAAGCCUGACCCAGCAACGCCGCGUGAAGGAUGAAGUCUUUCGGGAUGUAAACUUCGUAAGAAUAGGAAGAAUAAAUGACGGUACUAUUUGUAAGGUCCGGCUAACUACGUG
rnacentral:rRNA from 1 species